UAGGGAUUAGCCAAAUCGGUACGGCAGAAAGUUUUGGAUUUUCUAAUUGCAAGUUCGAGUCUUGCAUCUCUAG
rnacentral:tRNA from 1 species